UCCACCUCCACUAAGAUUGGGUAAUUCAUUUAGGAAAAUUAAUCUUUCAACUGGGUAUAUUGAGGGUAUUGUUUCAGAUAAAAAUUUUAAUUUACAAUGAGACUAAUGUUGGGAGAAAACUUAGUAGUACUUGUGUAGACAUUAGAAUGCGGAAAAGAGUUUUGUAGCACAUAAAUUCAUUUACCUGGUCAACGAUGUAUGCAAAUGGCAUAGUCCAAUUCGAUGUAAGUGCUGUGGGGUCAUUAUGGAAAGGCCUAUGGCAUCGCUUACAGCCUCAUGAAAUCCUGGAGUAAUAUCAUUUAAUUGUGGCAGAUAUCACAGAGGAUUCUUAAAUUGCAAAACGCUCAAUAGA